GGAAGGGUGGCUGAGUUGGUUGAAGGUACCUGACUCGAAAUCAGGCGAUGGAGCAAUCCAUCCGGGGGUUCGAAUCCCUCCCCUUCCGCCA
rnacentral:tRNA from 2 species